GAUGAACGCUGGCGGUAUGCUUAACACAUGCAAGUCGAACGGUCACUUCGGUGAUAGUGGCGGACGGGUGAGUAACGCGUGAGAAUCUGUCUUCAGGUCGGGGACAACAGUUAGAAAUGCCUGCUAAUACCGGAUGUGCCUUUGGGUGAAAGAUUUAUUGCCUGAAAAAGAGCUCGCGUCAGAUUAGCUAGUAGGUGGUGUAAGAGACUACCUAGGCUCCGAUCUGUAGCUGGUCUGAGAGGACGAUCAGCCACACUGGAACUGAGACACGAUCCAGACUCCUACGGGAGGCAGCAGUGGGGAAUUUUCCGCAAUGGGCGAAAGCCUGACGGAGCAAUACCGCGUGAGGGACGAAGGCUUUUGGGUCGUAAACCUCUUUUCUCAAGGAAGAUGAUGACGGUACUUGAGGAAUAAGCAACGGCUAACUCUGUG
rnacentral:rRNA from 1 species